UACGGAGGGAGCUAGCGUUGUUCGGAAUUACUGGGCGUAAAGCGCACGUAGGCGGCUUUUUAAGUUAGAUGUGAAAGCCCAGGGCUCAACCCUGGAAUUGCCUUUAAGACUGCAUCGCUUGAACAUCGGAGAGGUAAGUGGAAUUCCGAGUGUAGAGGUGAAAUUCGUAGAUAUUCGGAAGAACACCAGUGGCGAAGGCGACUUACUGGACGAUUGUUGACGCUGAGGUGCGAAAGCGUGGGGAGCAAACAGG
rnacentral:rRNA from 1 species